GUGAAUAUAAUCUAACCAAGACCCUAGGUUGUGAUCCUAGAAAUGGGGGCCAACACCCCCCUAUUCACC
rnacentral:tRNA from 1 species